AUUGAACGCUGGCGGCAUGCCUUACACAUGCAAGUCGAACGGCAGCACGGGUGCUUGCAGCUGGUGGCGAGUGGCGAACGGGUGAGUAAUACAUCGGAACAUGUCCCGUCGUGGGGGAUAGCCCGGCGAAAGCCGGAUUAAUACCGCAUACGAACCACGGAUGAAAGCGGGGGACCUUCGGGCCUCGCGCUAUAGGGUUGGCCGAUGGCUGAUUAGCUAGUUGGUGGGGUAAAGGCCUACCAAGGCGACGAUCAGUAGCUGGUCUGAGAGGACGACCAGCCACACUGGAACUGAGACACGGCCCAGACUCCUACGGGAGGCAGCAGUGGGGAAUAUUGGACAAUGGGCGAAAGCCUGAUCCAGCAAUGCCGCGUGUGUGAAGAAGGCCUUCGGGUUGUAAAGCACUUUUGUCCGGAAAGAAAUCCUUGGCUCUAAUACAGUCGGGGGAUGACGGUACCGGAAGAAUAAGCACCGGCUAACUACGUG
rnacentral:rRNA from 1 species